rnacentral:rRNA from 1 species
AUUGAACGCUGGCGGCAGGCCUAACACAUGCAAGUCGAGCGGAGCGGCGGACGGGUGAGUAAUGCCUAGGAAUCUGCAUGGUAGUGGGGGAUAACGUCCGGAAACGAGCGCUAAUACCGCAUACUAUCAGAUGAGCCUAGGUCGGCUUAGCUCGUUGGUGGGGUAAAGGCCUACCAAGGCGACGAUCCGUAACUGGUCUGAGAGGAUGAUCAGUCACACGGGAACUGGGACACGUUCCAGACUCCUACGGUAGGCAGCAGUGGGGAAUAUUGGACAAUGGGCGAGAGCCUGAUUCAGCCAUGCCGCGUGUGUUAAGAAGGUCUUCGGAUUGGAAAGCACUUUAAGUUGGGAGGCGUUACCAACAGAAUAAGCACCGGCUAACUGAGUGCCAGCAGCCGCGGUAAUUC